UAGCACCUCUUUUUAUUUAUUUUGUUGAGAAUAAUUUUACGUGUCAACAUUUUACAUUGUCAACAUUCACAAUUUACUCCUAAAAAAAAGUUCACAAAAGUUAGGAGUGUGCCAACUUAUAAUAUACCAUAUGCUUUAAAUUUUCCAUUAAACUUUACUUCAAAAAUAUUUUGUUUAAUACUAUACAUAGUUUGUGUGUCGUAUCUUAAUCUAUAAUCCAUAAAAUCGAACAUUAGAUUUGUGUUCAUUUUAAAUCCUCUUAAUACCUCUCUUCCACUUAGUUAAAGUUAGAAAACACCAAGAUUAGCCAACCCACACUUCGUGGCUCGAGCUUUCUGCUUAGGAAUCAAGAGACAGGU
rnacentral:lncRNA from 1 species